rnacentral:rRNA from 1 species
GCCUGCAGCCAUAGCACCUUGUGCUGUGAUCCCAUCACUCUCAAAAGCUAAGCAAGGUCAGGCUGUGUCAGUAAUUGGCUUCCCCAGAGCGCUAGGAACCAGAGGAAACAGUGCUGAUGAUU